CGACUAUUAUUCUCUCACUUGUGGGAGAAGCCAGAGGGAACAUGGGAGCUGUGUCCUGAAUCCUGGGGUGGGGGAGCACCCAGGCCAUCCACAGAUACCCCUCCACCCCGAGGUCCUGGGCACAGCAUUCAAGCUCCCCAGGGCAAGGGGUUCAUUGACCCUGAAGACCAGCAUGUGUAUCGACUUCCCAGAUGGCUCAGCGGGUGAAGAAUCAGCCUGUAAUGCAGGAGACUCGGGUUCGAUCUUCGGGUCAUGAAGAUUCCCUGGAGGAGGAAAUGGCAAGCCAUCCCAGUAUUCUUGCCUGAAAAAUCCUAUGGACAGAAGAGCCUGGCAGGCUACAGUCUAUGGGGUCUCAAAGAGUUG
ensembl:lncRNA